rnacentral:tRNA from 1 species
UUCUCAGUAGCUCAACGGUUAGAGCGUAGCACUUUUCAUCGCUUUAGAUGUUGCUAAGGUUGCAAGUUCGAAUCUUGCCUGAGAUA